rnacentral:pre_miRNA from 1 species
UGAGGAUCAGUGACUGAGUGCAGUAAAAUACUUUCAAAAUGUUUUAUGGAUGAGGAUAAAAACAUUUUGAAAGUAUUUUACUGCACUCAGUCACUGAUCCU